rnacentral:rRNA from 1 species
AACGAACGCUGGCGGCAUGCCUAACACAUGCAAGUCGAACGAGACCUUCGGGUCUAGUGGCGCACGGGUGCGUAACGCGGGGGAACCUGCCCUUAGGUUCGGAAUAACUCCCCGAAAGGGGUGCUAAUACCGGAUAAUGUCUUCGGACCAAAGAUUUAUCGCCUUUGGAUGGGCCCGCGUUGGAUUAGCUAGUUGGUAGGGUAAAAGCCUACCACGGCGACGAUCCAUAGCUGGUCUGAGAGGAUGAUCAGCCACACUGGGAGUGAGACACGGCCGGGACUCCUACGGGAGGCAGCAGUGGGUGAUACUGGACUAUGGCCGAAAGCAUGAUCCCGCUCUGCCGCGUGAGUGAUGAUGGCCUUAGGGUUGUACAGCUCUUUUACCCGGGAUGAUAAUGACGGUACCGAAAGAAUAAGCUCCGGCUAACUUCGUG